rnacentral:tRNA from 2 species
ACUCCUGUGGCGCAAUUGGCAGACGCAACUGUCUUAAACACAGUUUGUUGUGGGUUCGACUCCCACCAGGAGUA